GUGUGGCCUGUGAGUCUUAAUGUCUAAUUAAAGAAGGCCUCCUGGUGGGCAUUGCACUUCCUCUAGAAGUUAUGCCAUUUGGAGGGAGGCCACUUUUCAUUUGCAUCUGAAUGGGACUGAUUACUUUGCAAGUAUGGACUCACGCAUGAAUAAUUUGGUUGACCCAACUCACUCCUCUGAAAGGUUGGAAAUGAAUGCUUGAUUCAGGGCUGACAUCACCAGCGAAUUCACUAUGCAUUAUGGUCUUCAGCCAUGCCCACCUUCAGGGACCCACCUGAGAAGUGUUUAUAAACUAUCGCUGAGAAAAUUUUCGCUUCCCCGGGAAACAAAUAUGGAUCCUCCUUUUUUACAACCAGAGCAAGCAAUAUAUCAUUUAUCCCUCUUGGUCUUGCCUUCUUGGAAGCUCAGAGCUCAUUCUGAAGCUAAGAUACAAUUAAUAUAUAACCUUCACGUCAGCCCAUUUCCUGCCUUCUCCUGGUUUCCCUUUUCAGCUGACCUUUGUCUUUGACAGAAAUUUUUAGACUUUGUCUCAGUUGUGAGAAAAAGGUUGGGCCAGACACCAGGGGAGAUUGUUGGGGAGAUGCUUUUGAGUCCCACUUCAAUCCCUUUACUUACAAAUGCCACAGCAGUGAGUGGCUCUAGGGUGUAUUCAGAAGGGAUCAUUUUCUCUGCCAAUAUCCUAGACAACUUUCUACUCUGCUCCUAAGAAAAGUUCUAAGAAUCCUUACUGAUAUUGUUUGGGAGUCCUGGAGGCAGCUCCUGUGGAAGAUGUGGAGUGUCCAGAGGAUGGCCUCCUAUAAAUAAGGAAGAGAAAGUAGGGUAAGCACAAACACUGAUACAAUUCACUUGCUGGACUAAGGCCAGAAGGCGACAGCCAGACAAACAAUGGGAAUUCACAUAAAUUCAAUUCCAUGCAUAUUUCCUAGAGCCUGCUAUGCACUAGAUUUAGGAGGUAGUUCCUGAAGGAAAUAAGGGGAUGGCUGAGGUAACCCUGAUGUCUUAUACUGGUAAGCCUUAACAGUGGCAUUCUGGUUGGGGAUGGAGAGGUUGGGAGACUUAUCUUGAAGCCGUCUUUGUGUAUGAAGCAUCCUGUUUUAUUUAGAUUGCAGGUUUGUUUUGGACUUUCUUGACAUAAAGCAUUGGUGGAAAGAGGGUAGUUUUAUUUACUGUCCAAUUGUAAAAAGUUUGUUUCAUCUGGGAGUUCCAGCGACUCUAAGUUUGUAUGCACAUAAUAGCAUGAUCCAAAAUAUAUA
rnacentral:lncRNA from 1 species